UCCGGAUUUAUUGGGCGUAAAGCGAGCGCAGGCGGUUAGAUAAGUCUGAAGUUAAAGGCUGUGGCUUAACCAUAGUACGCUUUGGAAACUGUUUAACUUGAGUGCAAGAGGGGAGAGUGGAAUUCCAUGUGUAGCGGUGAAAUGCGUAGAUAUAUGGAGGAACACCGGUGGCGAAAGCGGCUCUCUGGCUUGUAACUGACGCUGAGGCUCGAAAGCGUGGGGAGCAAACAGGAUUAGAUACCCUGGUAGUCAAGGGCGAAUUCGC
rnacentral:rRNA from 1 species